AGAAAAAAAUCCUAGUUUAGAGAUACUUAUAUUCUAAUGAGCUUAUAGACAAGCACACAGAUGCUUUUUUACACAGAGAUGGAUGGAGAUCUGGGAACCAGGGGCCCAAAUCAACUCAAACACAUAACUGUGUAUAGAGUCUCAAGCCUUUUUUGGAGGUCAGACAAAUUGGCAGGUUUCUAAUGUCAGUUAAUGCCGGUGUAUUUGGCAAAGUACAGCCAAAGUCCUCAUUAAGGAAUUGUGGAUUUUGUUGAAUCAGGGAUUCAGUCAAGAAUCAUGAUGGCCACUGGCUCUAUCAGUCAGAGCAGGAGAAAGCUGAGGAAAGAGAUGGUCAACAGUGACAUGAGAAGAAAGCUUGGCACGCAAGCACUAGAGGGAAGACUGAACAGGCCAUGGCAAGGGGGAAGAAGCUAAGAGCCAGAAGGAAUGCAACCAAACUUCUCAGAGUCAAGCAACAGCAACAUCUUAAAGAAAAUAUAUUUCCCUUACAGUUUAAGAAUUGACUUUAGUUUGAGAAUAAUAAUGUUUUUACACCAAGAGAACAAUAAAUAUUUAAUAAUUUUGCUUUGAAAAAGCAACUGUUAUGAUUAAAUGAAUAAAACAAAGAGUGACUUCUAUAUGCAUAUUAUAGAUCAACAGUCUUUAUACAAAUUGUUAAUUUGUAUUUCAUUAAUUUGUUGAUUUGUAUUUGUGCCUGUAAUGUGGCUCUUUCAUUUCACUCACAUCUUCAGAAGUUUUUAAACAAUGUUAAAAACAUAGCAAAAAUGUUCCUGAGUUAGGGUUUCUUCAUAUUUAUAAGAUAAAGAGAAGUCUUCUAUGAACAUACGGAGUGUAGAUAACACUUCCACAGGGUUUAAAUGUAUUUUAAAUGUUAUUUCACUUUAUUUUCCUGGAAGGAAACUUUUUAUGAGUUGAAGAAUGUUGGUGAAGCACUUUUGCUAUAAUAAUCUCUUUUAUAGUUUAUUUGCUUAUUUGUUAGGGGGAGGGUGUGCUCAUGUGUGUGCCCACAGGCCAUCAGAACUGACAGAAAGCAUCUUAACCUACAAAGCCAACUCAGCAGCAUAUUUCACUACAAUGUGAGUUGCAGAUGCAGACUACAUGCAUGCUACAGCUCUAGCAAAGGUUGUCCUGCCUCAAGAUUGGAGAGGAGACCCCUUUGUUUAGCUUGUAUCCAAAUAAAAGGUAAUAAUUAAAUGCACCUGAAUUGGAGAUUCAAGGUAUUGAACAAAGGAAGGAUUAAAAGCUGUAUGGGAAACCAAACCUCCUAUGCUCAGCAUCUCCCAUCCCCUCUGCUUCUCAGCCACAAAAAGAGCCACAGCUAUAUCAUCUUACUUUGAAUCAUAAGCUUAAAUGCUAAAUCAGCCCAAUCUGCCCACUGAGAAUGGAACCAUGGGACUUCUGAGAAGCAAUUCCCAGCCUUUGCUUUUUGUUAUUUUCCUUAUAGGCCACUUAAUAAAUAACUUUGUACCGAAGAUUAACACAAUGCAUGACUCUACUGACUAUUCCCUACCUCUAAGCUCACAAUAGUUAUGAUCAACACCUUAUCAAGAACAAUGUGAUAUUGUACUAUUUUUAUUUUUUAGGAAUAGGUAAGGUAUAUAUGUGAUGUAAUAUGUACUAACUAUAUAUUAAAUGUAUAUUUGGUACAGAUGUAAUUGGAGACAUACAGGAAAGUAGAUUUAUUUACACAUUGACAAAUUUUGGUGGAGAGAAUCUGAAUUUCUCAGCCAUUUCAAUAGUUGCUACAGUUUUACAUAACAGAAGAAAAAAAGCCUGGAAAUAUCCAUAGAUUAAUUUAGUUGUUAGAACUCUGGUCUUUGCUGAGGACCUCGGCCCUUCUCCUUUCUCCAACUUGUCCAGGAUUCUUGGGGAUGUUAUUCUGUGAGUUCCAAGAUUUAAUAGUAUGAAAUGUGAAGGAAGAGGCACAGCAGUUUCUUGGCAGGCACCUUUAUUGUUAACAUAGUUUUACAUAUCAAUAACAUAUAAGUAAACAUACAUGUUAUACAUCAUGCACACACAGAAAGCAAAGUGAGUACUAUGUGCUGCUGUGGAUGAGUCAGGAAAAGUAAAACAGCUUUUAAUAAUAAAAAAUCAACACAGAAUUGAAAAACUAUAUUUGUUCUCUUAUCAUAUGUAUGGAAAGAUCUGGUAGAUUAAAAGUCACUCCAUGACUUUAGGCUUCUGGACUUUUCUGAAUUAGCUGACUAUUUUCACCACUAAAAAUAUUUUUAUGUCUUGUUAUUAGUUUCUUUUUAAAAAAAAAUCACAAGAUUAAGCUUUAACACCAAGUUCAGUAAGUAGUAUAAUGUCCUUCUUCAAAAAGAAUGAUUUUUUAACCCAAAAGGACUCUAAAGCUAGAUAAUCACGAUUCUCCUGCUUUUACUUUGUGCAACAGCUAGGGGAUGACUUUUCUACCACACAUUUUUCAUUUUAUCAUUGAUACCCUCUGCAAUAUCUGGCAUUGUAGCUGAGAUGGAAAUUCCUUUCUUUGGUAUAUUCUAAUUCAAUGUUCUUACUUACUCCUUUAGUUGGAGCCAUGAGGAACCCUUGUUCCAUCCCAUUAUGCUUGUCAAAAAUUUUGUAAUCCUCUUUACUGCUGGCUUUUCUAUCCCUGAAACAGUUACUUCCCCAGUCUGCUUAGUAGCGUUUUCCUUCCUGCCAUAAUCUAUUCUUCCAAUUAUUUCCCCCAAUGGUGUGUUUCUACAGGAUUUUCACAGCAGUUUCCUGAAAGAAGUUAUAUUGCUACAUGUUAUCCUUCUCUCUAAAGUGUAAGCCACAGAGGAGAAACAAUUCAUUAACACAAUUUCUAUUAUCUGUAGAGGUUGGUUUACUGCUAUGUAUUUUAAUGCUAAAUUCUAUACUAGAAGGUUUAGGCCUUGAUUUAAAACUACUGGCUACAGCCGAUUAUUAGAGGGAGUAAAGGUAGGUUUGGAGUAAGGAGAAACCAAAGGAGGAGGAGGAGGAGGAGGAGGAGGAAGAGGAGGAGGAGGAGGAGAAGGAGAAGAAGGAGAAGAAGGGGAAGGAGAAGGAGAAGGAGAAGGAGAAGGAGAAGGAGAAGGAGAAGGAGAAAGAGAAAGAGAAGGAGGAGGGGAGAAAGGAAGCUGCCUUGAGGGGAGCUGGACCAUAAGCACAUGGACAGGAGAAACAGCAAGUUUCUUUGGUACAUCACUGGGGAGGUAGGCAGGCCCUCAGUUAGAUGCUUAGAUUAGAGGUUACUCCCCAAGUAAUUGUUGAAGCCAAAUAAAAUAACCAUAGUCUGAGUCUCAUUUAUUUGUAAGCUAGUCAAAGAUAAGCUUAAAUUGCUUGUACUACAAUUAUAAUAGUUGAUUACUAGACUCAUAAAGUGUGUGAUCACAUACUCACAUUACAGAUGAGGAGGCUAGCCUAAAAUAGUUAAGUUCAAUAUCACAUAUACUGUAAGAUGUAAAAUUGAGUAAUAGAAUCAAACAGCCCAGUCUUCAGCUUAAACUACAAUUAUUCUCAAGUAUAGUUUUAUCUGCCAUAUCAUCUGUUACCAAGAAUUGGGGGUGAGCAUAACUAUAAAUGGGAAGAGAGAUGUGUAAAAUACGACAAUAACUCUAUCUUGACUUAAGCAAAUAUAUGCUUAUAAAAACUAUAUAAAAAUAAAUAACAGAGCAUGCACAUACACAUGUAAAUGUAAAACAUGAAAUUUAUUAAAAUUUAGCAUUGACAACAUCCUUGAAGAUGAUACUGUGUUUUAAUUAAGCAAGAUAUAACCAGGGGCAAGACUUUAUGUAUAUGGUAAAAGGUGUGGUACUGCAUGCUUUUAAUUUUAGCACUGGGGAAUCAGAGGCAGGUAGAUCUCCUUGAGUUUAAAGUCAAACUAGAUUAUGGAGCAAGAUACAGGACAUCCAGGGCUACAUAUCAAACCUCUGUCUCAAAAAGCUAAAAUCAAAACAUGCUCCCCC
rnacentral:lncRNA from 1 species